rnacentral:tRNA from 1 species
GAAAACGUGCCCGAAAGAUAGGGCCCUCCUUGAUAGGGAGAUUUAUGGAAGUUCAAACCUUCUCGUUUUCU